UACAGAGGGUGCGAGCGUUAAUCGGAAUUACUGGGCGUAAAGCGUGCGUAGACGGUUAUUUAAGUCGGGUGUGAAAGCCCCGGGCUCAACCUGGGAAUUGCAUUCGAGACUGAAUAGCUAGGGUACGGUAGAGGGAAGUGGAAUUUCCGGUGUAGCGGUGAAAUGCGUAGAUAUUCGGAAGAACACCAGUGGCGAAGGCGGCUCACUGGCCCGGUACUGACGCUGAGGUGCGAAAGCGUGGGGAGCAAACAGG
rnacentral:rRNA from 1 species